UACGAGGGGGGCAAGCGUUGUUCGGAAUUAUUGGGCGUAAAGGGUGCGUAGGCGGUGUGGUAAGUCUGUUGUGAAACCUCCAGGCUCAACUUGGAGCUUGCAUCAGAAACUGCCGUGCUAGAGUGUGGGAGAGGAGAGUGGAAUUCCUGGUGUAGCGGUGAAAUGCGUAGAUAUCAGGAGGAACACCGGUGGCGAAAGCGGCUCUCUGGACCACAACUGACGCUGAGGCGCGAAAGCUAGGGGAGCAAACAGG
rnacentral:rRNA from 1 species